rnacentral:tRNA from 1 species
AGAAGAAUUUCAGCUUUGGGUGCUGAUGGUGGAGCAAGAGCUUCUUCCUUGA